CUUUGCUACGGAUCUGCUGCUUGCUUACUGUUUCGCGAGAUUUCUUCACUGUUAACUGGCUUUGUAGGAAAUAAGGUUGAAGAGUGUGGCUGUACAAAGGAACGGGAGUUCUGGAUCUCCAUUGCCUAUUGCCAUUCUUGUAUUCUUCUCAGUUCUCGCGCCACUUGUUUUCUUUUUCGGUCCAAGGCUUUGUAUUUCUAAUC